UGGCUCAGCUUGACGGAGAGGCUCUUCUCUUCCAGACACCCCCUCGUGGCACACACAGGUGACCUCUCACUCGCUCUCUGGGCGUCCCUGACCAGCCGAGUCGACCCACGGUCAGCAUCACUGGCCCGAGGAGGUUGGUAGAAAACCCAGACGAGGAAACUGAGGCCCACAGAAGCAAAAGCCACUCGCCAUGUCACACAGCCCGGCCUCCGGGUGCCUCAGGUAAACGUUCAGAGGCCGUUUAGGUCGCCCUGCGUUGCCCUUGUAACAGGACGUGAGGAAGGACGAUCAGGACACACCAUGUCCAAGGUGGCCCAGCGGGGAGGUCACGGCAGGGACCCCAGGCCUGCUCUCCGUCUUCACCAGCCCCCGGCUCCCUGUGCGGACCCGGCCCAGGCGAAGGGGCUCCCUCAGGCUGAGCGCUGGCCUUGGCCUUCCCGCGUCCCCAGACCCUCCUGCCCGAGGUCGGGCUCCCCGGGCCCACACAUCAGCACCUGCCGGCUUCAUCCCAAGCAGCCUCUCCCUCCCAGCCCGACCCCCACUCACCACUGUGGCCCUGGGGACCCACGGGGCCCAGCUGCAGCCGUCAGACCCGGGGCUGCGUGGCCUGUUCCCUGGGGCACCCUUUGAGUUCCUGGGCCUUCUGGCACCUUUGGCUAUUUUACAACACCUCAACUUGGAGGGAACUGGUUGUAAAUCCAAAGAGGCUCGUCCAGAAAAAGGCCGAUGAAGGCAUCUGUGGAGAUGCGGUCGAUUGCAGCUGUUUCUGCCUCAUUUCAGUCCUCCCGAUGGCCGUGUUUCCAAGUGUCUUUGACUUGGCAGCGACAUCUUGUUAGUUUCCUCACCAGUUAAUGAGUCAAAAAUCUUUGACACACCAGGCGUGGUGGUGCACGCCUGCAUCCCAGCAGCUCAGGAGGCCGAGGCCGGAGGAUCAUGAGUUCAAAGCCAGCCUCAGCAAAAAGCAAGGUGCUAACCAACUCGGCGAGACCCUGUCUCUAAAUAAAGUACCAAAACGUAGAGCUGGGGAUGCGGCUCAGGGGUCAACUGCCCCGAGUUCUAUCCCCGGAAACUCCCCCAAAGUCUUUGACAUGUUCAUCUUAUACGUGCACGGAUCAUAGACUCACCUUUUCACAAAUGAUCUUCAGCAGCACCCAUUUGACUGCUGUCUUGGGGGUGCCACGCCUGCCCACCCUUUAACCCUGCUGACCUGUCCAGCCGGCCCUGACAGUGGCAGGAUUCUGAGCUCACUUUCCCCCGUCCCCUGACCCCACUUAACAGACAGAAACGGCACACUCAGGAUGUGGAGCCCAGUGGUCUGGCUCCUGUGCCCGGGGGUUCCCCGACUAUCCACAAGCAAAUGGAUUUUGUGGGCACCCCUCAACCUGGCUCCCGCACAAAGAAGUCCUCUUGGGCAGAGUCUUCACAUGGAGCGAUUCUCCAACAACACGGUGAGCUGGGCACUCGAGGCGCCCCGGGCGGGAGUGCGGAGCGCACUGUGGUGCCUGGGGACGGACACCCCUAGCCGUCCCCUGAGACAUGCCCCGGCAGUGUGGGUCCGGCCACCCCGCUGCUGCAGCGCACAGCAGGCAGGAACCAGGCCUCCCGGGAGGAGCAGGGAGACUAUUCUCAGCUGGGGACAGCUCUCCCGAGAGCCCACUCUGCACGAGGACGGGGACGGGGCGGGCACCACAGGCGGCCUCCCGCAGCUCCUCGCCACAGUAGGCAGAAGGCAGCUUCUGCCUCAUCCCGACCGCACAGAAGAGGCUGAGGCUCAGAGAGGUGGUGCCACUUGUCCCAGGUCACAGGACAGAGCUAGAAUGUGAACCCAGGUCAGUGUCUCAAGUCUGAACCAGAUUUGGGCUUCCCCGGGUCUGCAGGAGGUGACCCCCCAG
rnacentral:lncRNA from 1 species